CCUACGGGUGGCAGCAGUGGGGAAUAUUGGGCAAUGGGCGCAAGCCUGACCCAGCAACGCCGCGUGAAGGAAGAAGGCUUUCGGGUUGUAAACUUCUUUUAAGAGGGAAGAGCAGAAGACGGUACCUCUUGAAUAAGCCACGGCUAACUACGUGCCAGCAGCCGCGGUAAUACGGAGUUGGCAAGCGUUGUCCGGAUUUACUGGGUGGAAAGGGCGUGCAGCCGGGAAGACAAGUCAGAUGUGAAAUGCCGCGGCUCAACCGCGGAACUGCAUUUGAAACUGUUUUUCUUGAGUACCGUAGAGGUCAUCGGAAUUCCUUGUGUAGCGGUGAAAUGCGUAGAUAUCAGGAAGAACACCAGUGGCGAAGGCGGCUGACUGGACGGCAACUGACGGUGAGGCGCGAACGCGUGGGUAGCACACAGGAUUAGAUACCCCUGUAGUC
rnacentral:rRNA from 1 species